CUAUUAGUAGUUUAAAAAAAACAAUAAACCUCGAACUUAAAAACAUAGCACACAACCUAUCUAAUAUA
rnacentral:tRNA from 1 species